GAGUCUACGCCUUCUGACACAAAUUCUUCAAAUUCUCAUGAUUCCCAGCUCACGUCUGGAGAUCUCAAUACAAAGCAGCAGGGAGGAGAGCUGUGUGGAGGAGGAGAUGAGAAGAUGACUGUGGUAGCACCUGUAUCCCAUCAGAUCAAGAGCAAAUGUGGUUGACAGCAGAAACCUAAUGAGGGAACAGAGAGGAAAAGCUCAAGGACAUCUUUCCUCUGGUAUUUUGCGUCAGUUUCCAGUAGAAACACAGAUUUUCUGUGUUAGAAAAAGCAUAUGUUCAGUAGAGCUAACCACCUUCUGCCUUGAGUCUGUAGCAUGCCAGCCCUCUGAGCAAACUCGGAGCCAUCAGCACCAGAACACCUCAUCCUGGAGGGUCUCCAGCUCUAUGCAGCCUGCAGCUCCCACCCCAGCAGAGCCAAGGUCCUCAGUGCCAGUGCCAAGGACACAGCAGCACAACAGCACCUUGGAGGUGGUUCAUCCAAGCAGGCAAAGCACACUGAGCACAGGGGAAACCAGAAGGACUUAGUCGUGAUUUUGUAAAACUCCAAAUUCAGGAAAGAAUUCAGGCUCAGACACUCACUUCAGUGUUAUUUUGUGGGAGAACAUUUAGAAACUGCAAGGAAGCCAUAAAAGAAUGCAACCAGGAGCCAGCUUCUGAAAGCCAGAAAAAUUACUAGAUUGUUUUCAAGACUAGAAAGCUUCUAAAGUGAUGGAGAAAAAGUGGCCAAGAGAAAAGUGCUCCUGGGGCAAAAAGGAAAAGGAUGAGAAAAUAGGGGCCCCUUUGCCUAUCAUCUGCUCAGUCUUCUUGGUCUCCUGGAGAGCUGUCACUUGAAUGAGGCCGAUGGAGAGACUGGCAUCCGUUGCCGUUGCAGAGCUCGGGUAAGGAUGGCCAUCCAGUAAGCCCAGCUGCUGUUCUCCUGCUGCUGAGGUUGGUGGGAUCACACCCCAUAGCUGAAAGAUGUAUAAACCAAUAUAUUUUACCUCCUAUUUGCUGUGGAAAUUUGCCUGCCACAAGUUUGCUGAAGGCAGUAACUCACUGAGCCACAGACUCAGUCACGCGUUUAAUUCUGAAGAGUGGUGGGAUUUGAUCUCAGUCCAUAUGAAGACAUUAAACAACACCCACUGGCAAACCCAUCAUCUGCAACCUGGAACAGGUCCUGCACAGCAGCUUCCUCCUCAUGCGUGGAAGUGAUUCCUCCCAUCCAGCACAUGCUUGGAGGCACAUCUGAAGUAUGACGUACGGUUUCCAUGAUAACAGCCCUGUCUCUGAAAGAAAGCUACUUUGGAACAGGUGUCUCUGAGAUAAUUGUGCAGAGAUGGUGACCCUAAGCUGUGCCUCAGCAAAAUACAAAUGAUGGAGCACAGUCCUGAUCAGACCUCAUCUUGCAAACAUAUGACUUUGAGCAGCUUUGCAAAUGAUUUGGCUAUCCUGAGCCAAAUCUUUUAAUGUCAUGAGGAGAUCAGCCACACACUCACUCACGCUACACCUCCAGGUACAUGACUUCAAGAACUUCAUCUUCCAGAUUAAAAAAAAAGGGGGGUCUGCUCUGAAUCAGACACUCUUCUCUACAUCACUGCUAAUAGUGGAUUGCUCAUUUCAUCUACCUCUGAUUUCCCCACUACUGAUAGCAAUAGAUCCCAGAAAAUUAGGUGUGAUUUAGGCAGUCAACCAGCUCUAGAAAUUGCAGGUCUUCAACUGCUUCAGCUGCCGAGCCUUUUGGAACAGCUCAAGCUGUAAAUAAGUGCUCAAUGUUUUUGCAUUUUUUAUGAUAUGCUGAUGCAGUUUUUCUGUGCCCUCGCUAAUUUGCCAAUAAAACAUGGCACACAGAAUUCA
ensembl:lncRNA